GUCUUCAUCAUCAUCAUCAUCAGCUGCUGUUCGUGUUGAGAAGGCAACGAGCGAGUUCUUGAUAGGUCCUGAUUGGACGAUGAAUAUUGAUAUUUGUGAUACAAUCAAUUCUAACCAAUGGUUGGCAAAAGAUGUCGUCAAAGCUGUAAAAAAGAGGUUGCAGCACAAGAACCCCAAAGUUCAGCUACUCGCUUUAACACUUAUGGAGACAAUGGUGAAGAACUGUGGUGAUAAUGUGCAUUUUCAAAUUACUGAAAGAACUAUACUGCAAGACAUGGUCAAAAUUGUAAAGAAGAAGACUGAUAUGCAUGUGAGAGAUAAAGUGCUAGUACUACUGGACUCUUGGCAAGAAGCAUUUGGUGGCCCUGGAGGAAAGUAUCCCCAGUAUUAUUGGGCUUAUGAAGAAUUGAGGCGUGCUGGUGUUGAAUUUCCCAAGCGUUCAUUUGAUACAGCUCCUAUCUUUACUCCUCCUGUUACUCAUCCUGCACCAAGACAAGCGCAACCUGGUUAUGGAAUGCCAAACAAUUCCUCAACAAGACUUGACGAGGCAAUGGCAGCAGAUGUGGGAAACUUAAGCUUGUCCAGCAUAAAUUCUAUGAGGGAUGUUGCUGAUCUGUUGGCUGAUAUGCUACAAGCUGUGACCCCAGGCGAUCGUUUGGCUGUAAAGGAUGAAGUUAUAGCCGAUCUUGUUGAUCGGUGUCGCUCUAACCAGAAGAAGUUGAUGCAAAUGUUAACAACAACAGGGGAUGAAGAACUUCUUGCCCAGGGUCUUGAAUUGAAUGAUAACCUCCAAACUGUACUGGCUAAACAUGAUGCAAUAGCUUCUGGUUCUCCACUCCCAACUCAAGUCCCAAAUGACAACUUCUCUGCAAGAGAAAUGCAUGAUCCAAGCCUCAAACCUGUUGAAGUUAAGCCACCCAGUCCAAUAGCAGAUGUCAAACCUUCUGCGCCAGUUCUUGUAGCAACCGCAGGUCAAAUUGAUGAAGAGGAAGAUGAGGAAGAUGACUUUGCUCAACUAGCUCGAAGACAUUCAAAAACAAGUCCAGCAGCACAAACAAGUGAAGGAAUGGUCUCUGCCAAUGCUAGCAAUUCUACGGGAGAACCAUUGGAUCCUGUUGCAAGCAAUGCAUUAAUUCUUCGUGACCCACCUGCAACAUCCACGAAAGAACAAGACAUAAUUGACCUCUUGAGCCUCACCUUGUCAUCAAGUGUUUAUCCCGAAACAUCACAAAAUUCUGCUUCAGCUACUCAAAACACGCAUCAGGAGCCUCUUGCCUCAACCACACAUGGAAAUCCAUAUGCAUCUCAAGCUUAUAUUGGGUAUCAGGAUCAGAGCUUUAACAGUUAUGUAGCUCCUUGGGCUCAGCCCCAACCCCAGCAUCAGUCACCACCCCAGUUUCAUCCUCAAUAUCAACACCAAGGCCAACCUCAGUUUCAUCCUCAAUUUCAACACCCAACCCAAGCCCAGGUCCAGUCCCAACCUCAACCUCAUCCACAGCAACAACCUCAAUCACAACUUCAUCA
rnacentral:misc_RNA from 1 species